GAGAAGAACGUAGUGAAAUGCGAUAAGUAAUGUGAAUUGCAGAGUUCAGUGAAUCAUCGAAUCUUUGAACGCACAUUGCGCCCGUCAGUAUUCUGACGGGCAUGCCUGUCCGAGCGUCAUUUCAACCCUCAAGCACUGCUUGGCGUUGGCGGAUUGCGUGCCCUCGCGGCGCUGCAACCGCCCAAAUACAGUGGCGGUCCCGCUGCGGCUCCCUUUGCGUAGUAACUCACCUCGCACUGGACCGGGCGGCGGCCUGCCGUAAAACCCCAACUCACGAAAUGUUGACCUCGGAUCAGGUAGGAAUACCCGCUGAACUUAAGCAUAUCAAUAAGCGGAGGA
rnacentral:misc_RNA from 1 species